AGAGUUUGAUCCUGGCUCAGAACGAACGCUGGCGGCGUGGAUAAGACAUGCAAGUCGAGCGCUGGUUACAGGGUAGCAAUAUUCUGUAAUCGGAGCGGCGCAAGGGUGCGUAACACGUGGGUAAUCUGCCAUGAAGUUUGGGAUAACUUGCUGAAAGGCGAGCUAGUACCGGAUGUGACGAUUGGAAGGCAUCUUCCGAUUUUCAAAGCUGGGGACCGUAAGGCCUGGCGCUUCAUGAUGAGCCCGCGGCCUAUCAGCUAGUUGGUGAGGUAACGGCUCACCAAGGCUAAGACGGGUAGCUGGUCUGAGAGGACGACCAGCCACACUGGAACUGAGACACGGUCCAGACACCUACGGGUGGCAGCAGUCGAGAAUUUUUCACAAUGGGCGCAAGCCUGAUGGAGCGACGCCGCGUGGGGGAUGAAUGGCUUCGGCCCGUAAACCCCUGUCAUUUGCGAACAAGUUGGUUCAAUUAACACCUGAACCAUUGAUAGUAGCGAAAGAGGAAGGGACGGCUAACUCUGUGCCAGCAGCCGCGGUAAUACAGAGGUCCCGAGCGUUGUUCGGAUUCACUGGGCGUAAAGGGUGCGUAGGUGGUGAGGUAAGUCGGAUGUGAAAUCUCCGAGCUCAACUCGGAAAUGGCAUUGGAAACUACCUUGCUAGAGGGUUGGAGGGGGGACUGGAAUGCUUGGUGUAGCAGUGAAAUGCGUAGAUAUCAAGCGGAACACCAGUGGCGAAGGCGAGUCCCUGGACAACUCCUGACACUGAGGCACGAAAGCUAGGGGAGCAAACAGGAUUAGAUACCCUGGUAGUCCUAGCCGUAAACGGUGCUUGCUUGCUGUAAAAGGAAUCGACCCCUUUUGUGGCGUAGCCACGCGUUAAGCAAGCCGCCUGGGAGUACGGUCGCAAGAUUAAACUCAAGAAAUUGACGGGGGCCUGCACAAGCGGUGGAGUAUGUGGCUCAAUUCGAU
rnacentral:rRNA from 1 species